rnacentral:pre_miRNA from 17 species
ACAUGGGAGGAAAUGAUGCUUUGUGUUUUCAGCUUCUUUACAGUGCUGCCUUGUAGCAUCCAGAUCAAGCAGCAUUGUACAGGGCUAUGAAAGCACAGAGACACAUACUGCAAGUGCAAA